rnacentral:lncRNA from 1 species
AAGAGCUGACAUGUAAACUCUUAAUUUUGUGAGCUAUAGGAAAUCUGUUUUUGACUUCAUGGCUCACUCUCAGCACUAACCCUGUUAGUGGUGCAAUAACUUGCAGUUCAGCUGCACGUAAUCUAUUUACAAACAGCAGCUUUGUGCUCCUUUAUUUGUAUGUCCCUUUAAUUUCUCCCUCCAUGCUGUGUCUCCUGCUGAUGCACCAUACCAUGAGGAUUAAUAACCUCCAACAGUUUGUUAGCCAGGGAUUCACAGCCACGGUGGCGCGAGGAGCUGGUGUGGUGUAACUGUAUAUUGCCUGUCAUGCCAAACUGGGCUUGAGGCCCAGAAAGCGUGUCUCUGUCCUCUGAGUUCAAAGCUCUUACUCAUCACAGGAGUUAGUGAUUUGCUUAAAUCCCAAUGAAAAGGUUUAAAUGAUCAGUAAUGGCAACUCCAGGCUGUGGUAAUUAUCAUGUAGGUAAAGUGACGGCAGAUGGGUUGGAGAGGCUGCCUGGGCACAGAAGAACAGUCUUCUCUGUACCUAGGUAAAGCACUGCUGGGCUUGCACUAAGGCAGAUUUUUGCCCUCAGCCUCUGGAAAAGAAAACAUCCUGCGGUUCACGGUCACCCUUCUCCCUGCCCCAGGUGGAAGGAGAGCUGGUCCUGGGUUCCUCAGAGAGUUCCAGGAGGUUCCAGAACCUUUCCUGGAUCCUCCACCUCAGGGUGCCCCCCCUCCCCUCAGGGAGCAGCUGCCAGAGGAACCCGCAGGCAGGGUGCAGCCUGUGGGGGUCACCACAUGCACCCCACCACGUGAACCCAGGGUGCAUGGGUGGAGCUGCUCCAGGGCAGGGCCUGGGGCGGCCUUUCCCCAGGAAGACUCUAGCCAGAGGUGGAAGACAGAAAGGCCACAAUAAACAUUGGGCCCAUAUGCUUAGAAGAAGAAAUCAGUUCAUGACAUUUAAAAAAAAAAAAAAAAAAAAAGGAUUUGACAGGUAAAUGACUAAAUAUAUUCCUUUAGUGAUCCAACAUUUCUUCUUAAUGAGGCAAGUUGUCAUUGACUUUGCUUGUUGUCUAUGAAUUCUGAGUGACUCAAUCUUCAUAAUGUCAGACUGGUCAAAGACAUCAGUAAAUUGCAUGAAUAAUACAUGAUACUUGGUAAUUGUCCUUAGCUGGUAACAUAUUGUAAUUUCAUUUGUUCAAUAGCAUUUGUCUAAAAUAGCGUUUCCUGAAUUGGCUAUUACUUCUGCUUUCCUGAAGUGGAUAAUGUAACCUAUGCGAACGGUAUAUUUACCUCAGUUUUAUGCCUUAUGAAGCUACUAAGGCAUUGUAGCUAAAGGUAUACAUGGUGAACGUCAAGCAGUGACAUCGAUUGUUUGCAUGUAUGUAGCUAGCCUAGGUCUUUUGUCAACGUAAUGCUAACCCCUACCUCUAACAAAAGUAUGGUGUCUUUCCCAAAUAUGACAUAGAAACUGGAUUCUACCAUUAAUAUGUCACCUUUGCUAUUGUGGCAGAGGGAACUUGGCUUGGGAGCUGAGUAGUAGUAGUUCAAAUCAACAUGUUCCUUUUCAAGAAAGCAAAUUGAGAAUGUUUCUGUAUCUAUGGAGACCUCAAAACAUGUUUAUUGUGCAUCUGGCAAAUAAUCUGAAGAGUUUGCUCUAACAAGGUUUACUGCAUUAGGGUUGACUCUUGGCUUCAUCUGUUAUCACUGAAUCACCUUUUCUUUGCUUGCAAAUCACAUCUCCUAGUCUUCUCUACUCAUAGAAAAGACAGAAAUGAAAGACCAAGGAAUCUGCUGGCAGUGCCUUCUGGCUUUAGGGAUGUGUCUGGAAUCAUGUAUGUGUCAU